AUUGAACGCUGGCGGUAUGCUUAACACAUGCAAGUCGAACGGUAGCAGCUCUUCGGAGGCUGACGAGUGGCGGACGGGUGAGUAACGCGUAGGAAUCUGCCUGUUAGUGGGGGACAACUUAGGGAAACUUAAGCUAAUACCGCAUACGCCCUACGGGGGAAAGGAGGGGAUCUUCGGACCUUUCGCUAACAGAUGAGCCUGCGUAGGAUUAGCUUGUUGGUAAGGUAAGAGCUUACCAAGGCGACGAUCAGUAUCUGGUUUGAGAGGACGAUCAGACACACUGGAACUGAGACACGGUCCAGACUCCUACGGGAGGCAGCAGUGGGGAAUUUUCCGCAAUGGGCGAAAGCCUGACGGAGCAAUACCGCGUGAGGGAAGAAUGCCUAUGGGUUGUAAACCUCUUUCAGCAGGGAAGAAGCGAAAGUGACGGUACCUGCAGAAGAAGCACCGGCUAACUAUGUG
rnacentral:rRNA from 1 species